GAUGAACGCUAGCUACAGGCUUAACACAUGCAAGUCGAGGGGAAACGAUAUUGGAAGCUUGCUUCCGAUAGGCGUCGACCGGCGCACGGGUGAGUAACGCGUAUCCAACCUGCCCACCACUUGGGAAUAACCUUGCGAAAGUAAGACUAAUGCCCAAUGAUAUCUCUAGAAGACAUCUGAAAGAGAUUAAAGAUUUAUCGGUGAUGGAUGGGGAUGCGUCUGAUUAGCUUGUUGGCGGGGUAACGGCCAACCAAGGCGACGAUCAGUAGGGGUUAUGAGAGGAAGGGCCCCCACAUUGGAACUGAGACACGGUCCAAACUCCUACGGGAGGCAGCAGUGAGGAAUAUUGGUCAAUGGGCGAGAGCCUGAACCAGCCAAGUAGCGUGCAGGAUGACGGCCCUAUGGGUUGUAAACUGCUUUUAUAAGGGAAUAAAGUGAGCCUCGUGAGGCUUUUUGCAUGUACCUUAUGAAUAAGGACCGGCUAAUUCCGUGCCAGCCGCCGCAGUAA
rnacentral:rRNA from 1 species